GAGAAGUAUGGUGCAGUGCUUUGUUGCAGUAGCCAGGGUUUCAAAAGAAUUAAAGAUGUUAAUCGUUUAAGAAAGGAAACACGAACUGGUUGUCCUGCAAUGAUAAGGAUGAGGUUGGUGGNCCAAGAGGUGGAGAGUGCUAGAGGUUACACUUGAACACAACCACCUGUUAGGUGCUAAGAUAUACAAAUCAAUUAAGAAGAUGGGAACGGGAAACAAAAGGAAGUCACAGUCAAGUUCAGAUGCAGAAGUGCGAACUAUUAAGUUGUACAGAGCACUUGUAAUAGAUGCAGGGGGUACGGGGAAC
rnacentral:misc_RNA from 1 species